CGUAGGUGGCGAGCGUUAUCCGGAUUUACUGGGUGUAAAGGGGGUGUAGGCGGGUUUGCAAGUCGGGUGUGAAAGAUCCAGGCUUAACUUGGAGAGGUCAUCCGAAACUGCAGAUCUUGAGUGCUGGAGAGGAUAGUGGAAUUCCUGGUGUAGCGGUAAAAUGCGUAGAUAUCAGGAGGAACACCAGUGGCGAAGGCGGCUAUCUGGACAGUAACUGACGCUGAGGCGCGAAAGCGUGGGGAGCAAACAGGAUUAGAUACCCU
rnacentral:rRNA from 1 species